rnacentral:rRNA from 1 species
GAUGAACGCUGGCGGCGUGCCUAAUACAUGCAAGUCGAACGAACACACGAGGAGCUUGCUGCUGCGAAGUGACGGGCGGACGGGUGAGUCAUACGUAGGUGACCUGCCUAUGAGACUGGGAUAGCUUCGGGCGACCGGAGCUCACACCGGAUAAUAGUGUGAACACCAUGGUUCGAAAGUGCAAGCUGGCUUUGCUAUCACUUAUAGGUGGACCGGCGCCGUAUUAGCUAGUUGGUAAGGUAAAGGCUUACCAAGGCAACGAUCCGUAGCCGACCUGAGAGGAUGACCAGCCACACUGGGACUGAGACACGGCCCAGACUCCUACGGGAGGCAGCAGUGGGGAAUUUUGCGCAAUGGGGGAAAGCCUGAUCGAGCCACGCCGCGUGCGGGAUGAAGGCCUUCGGGUUGUAAACCGCUUUUGUUCGGGAAGAAGUACCCUGUACUUAACUGGGGAGGUGUUGACGGUACCGGAAGAAUAAGCCCCGGCUAACUACGUG